AUUGAACGCUGGCGGCAGGCCUAACACAUGCAAGUCGAACGGUAGCACAGAGAGCUUGCUCUCGGGUGACGAGUGGCGGACGGGUGAGUAACGUCUGGGAAACCGCCCGAUGGAGGGGGAUAACUACUGGAAACGGUAGCUGAUACCGCAUAACGUCGCAAGACCAAAGUGGGGGACCUUCGGGCCUCACACCAUCGGAUGUGCCCAGAUGGGAUUAGCUAGUAGGUGGGGUAAUGGCUCACCUAGGCGACGAUCCCUAGCUGGUCUGAGAGGAUGACCAGCCACACUGGAACUGAGACACGGUCCAGACUCCUACGGGAGGCAGCAGUGGGGAAUAUUGCACAAUGGGCGCAAGCCUGAUGCAGCCAUGCCGCGUGUAUGAAGAAGGCCUUCGGGUUGUAAAGUACUCUCAGCGGGGAGGAAGGCGGUGGAGUUAAUAGCUUCACCGAUUGACGUUACCCGCAGAAGAAGCACCGGCUAACUCCGUGCCAGCAGCCGCUGUAA
rnacentral:rRNA from 1 species